AUUGAACGCUGGCGGCAGGCCUAACACAUGCAAGUCGAGCGAGCGGCGGACGGGUGAGUAAUGUAUGGGGACUGCCCGAUAGAGGGGGCUAACUACUGGAAACGGUAGCUAAUACCGCAUACUAUCGGAUAACCCAUAUGGGAUUAGCUAGUAGGUGAGUUAAUGGCUCACCUAGGCAACGAUCCCUAGCUGGUCUGAGAGGAUGAUCAGCCAUAAUGGGACUGGGACAGGGCCCAGAGUCUUACGGAGGCAGCAGUGGGGAAGAUUGCACAAUGGGCGCAAGCCUGAUGCAGCCAUGCCGCGUGUAUGAAGAAGGCCAUAGGGUGGUAAAGUACUUUCAGUCGGGAGGCGUUACCGACAGAAGAAGCACCGGCUAACUCCGUGCCAGCAGCCGCGGUAAUAC
rnacentral:rRNA from 1 species